rnacentral:lncRNA from 1 species
CUUUACCACCAGACCAUGAGGAAAGUCCUAAAUAUAUUCAUGUAUACAAAAUCUCAUGAUUUAACAGAAGGAUUGGGUCCAAUAUCUGAAGCGUUCUGCUUUAGAGUUUUCUAAAUUUUAGUUAUCCUUCAGAUUUUAACUACAGUCAUGAGCCACCUAUACUAUGACUUAUAUAAUGAUAUUUUCUUUAAGUCGAGUAACGCAUUUAUAUGUUGCUAUUGCUCCUCACAACCUCAGGUAUUUAUUCAUUGUGGAAGCUCAGAUGAUGGACCCAGAUGUAACCUCAGGAUCCUCUUUAUUACAGCGUCUCAAGGACCCCUCUUUCCAAGUUCCCUUCUCAAUACAGCCAAGAGGCUAGAUCUCAUCAAUAAAAUUUUAAAUGUUCGUCACCUGCUGUUGAGACAUCACUGACCUUGAAAUGCUACCAAAUCAUGUCAGCGUUCCGUCUGAUUCUCGGGAGGACAGCAGUCAAAGCAUGAACACUCUAUUAUUAAUAAAAGGGAGAGACUGACAGGUCA